UACGUAGGGUGCAAGCGUUGUCCGGAAUUAUUGGGCGUAAAGAGCUCGUAGGCGGUUUGUUGCGUCGGCUGUGAAAUCCCGAGGCUCAACCUCGGGUCUGCAGUCGAUACGAGCAAACUAGAGUGUUGCAGGGGAGACUGGAAUUCCUGGUGUAGCGGUGAAAUGCGCAGAUAUCAGGAGGAACACCGGUGGCGAAGGCGGGUCUCUGGGCAACAACUGACGCUGGAGGAAGCGAA
rnacentral:rRNA from 1 species